rnacentral:lncRNA from 1 species
UCACUCCCCAUCCGGGUGUCACUGGGUGCUGGGUACCUCCCUCACUCUCCAUCUGGGUGUCACUGGGUGCUGGGUACCUCCCUCACUCCCAACCCCGGUUCCUCUGUAGCUUGUGCACCUCCUUUCUUUCCUGGAUUCUCCUUCCCCUCUGGUCAUUGAGGUUCCAGAUGCCUCAAAGAAGACACUGCAAAUGGAAGGAAGUAUAUGGCUUUUGAGAUGGAUGGUGAUGGCUGGCUGGGGCCUUGUCAGGUGUAGAUUUUGACCAUCAGACCUUCAAGGAGGUGGGGAGGCGUUGGGGUGAAGAGCUGGGGAGGAGCUCAGAGGCUAGAAGCCAUGUCCCUU